AGCUAACGUUGGCGGCGUGCCUAACACAUGCAAGUCGAACGCGCCGUAGCAAUACGGUGAGUGGCGAACGGGUGAGUAACACGUGGGUUAUCUCCCCCGAGUGAGGAAUAAGCCCCCGAAAGGGGGUCUAAUACCGCAUAACGCCCUGGGACAUAAGCCUCAGGGCCAAAGCCGCAAGGCGCUUGAGGAUGAGCCUGCGUCCUAUUAGCUAGUUGGUAGGGUAAUGGCCUACCAAGGCGAAGAUGGGUAGCCGGCCUGAGAGGGUGUACGGUCACACUGGAACUGAGACACGGUCCAGACUCCUACGGGAGGCAG
rnacentral:rRNA from 1 species